UGCUGGAUAGCUCAGGUGGUAGAGCAUGAGACUCUGAAUCUCAGGGUCAUGGGUUCAAGCCCCACAUUGGGCUAA